CCCAGGUUCAGCCUUUUUAGUACCAUUAUCUUAUAAUUGCUGAUUGGCACAGGGUUCUGCUUGCUGUUCCCAAGGGGGGUCAGCAGUAUGUGUGGCUCAGUGGCAGGGACUCCUAGGCAGCGAUUUAUGCAGUGGUUUUGAUAGAUGGAAAAAAGCAGUAAGAAUUUAUUAGCCCAGUAUCAUUGUUGGGAGGCAGGAGGAGGGCUGGAGAAAACGAAUUCCCUUGCCAACAAAUGAAAAGAAUAAAACUGGAAUAAGAUGAGUGGCAAUUCAGAGACGAUAAUAUACUCUAGGAAAAAGCAUGUAAACCUUCAAGAUUAAGUCAUAGGCUUUCCUUGUGCCUCAAGAUGUUGAAGUUCCCAGUCCAUAUAUGAGUUCUCCUAUGUUGCAACCAGCUAGUAAGAAAGAUUCUCCAAAUCAUUACACAGGUUAACUCUCCCCCACCUGCCCACCAGUCACAGGAUUCAAACAUCAGGCCUCAAAUUAUGCUGAGAAUAAAUGGAGAUAAACAGCAAACCCAAGGAGACAAAUAAGACGAACACCUUGAAAAGGAACCAGUAAGUGAAAUAGGAUGUGACAGGCUCAGGAAGAUGAGAGGGAAUGAUUUCCUGGAAUGCAGCAGCAAUUUCGUGCCAGCAGCGAUGCGCCAGCUGUACUUGACCUUCAGUAACCUUUAUCCCCGUCUCCUACUGCUGCUCCUACAGCUUCUCAGCCUGGUUCUCCUCCUCCACUCUGGUGGUGUUCCUGGGAAGAAGGUCCAUAGUCCACAUCCAGCUCCUCCAAAAGUCGUCUCCUCCUCUCAGGAGCAUCUUGCCUGUUUGGCUGGCAGAUCCACUGUUUGGAGAAAUGCAGCUGUCAGGGGAGGCUGUGAUCAGAGAAGGGGAAGGAGGUCUCUCAGGUAGAUGGGGCCAGUCCUGCAGCGCACUUCAAAUUUCAGGGUAGUGACCUUGAACUCGUCUCCACUCUGCAGGGAGCCCUGCACAGGAAGCCAGAGCGCUGGGGUGAAGUGUUUGCUGUGACCUGCACUGCUGAUCAGGUGAACUGUUAUGUAUAGCAACAUUUGGUAUUUUUGCAGGAUCCAUAACUUCGCUCCUAGAUCUUAUUUGAAAUGGUGGAACUGUCACAUGGUUUGUUAUUUCAUCAGACCUAAUAAUUUAUUAAAGGUAAAUGAAUGUUGUGGCUUUUCCCCUCCCUAAUUUAUUCUACCUUCACCUAAGCACAGGAACUUUUUGUAUGGCCUAUAGUAGAUUAAUUUCUUCCAGCUGGUGGGAAGUAAUUCAUUUAUACCAUCUAAAAUCCUAUUUUUAAGUAUCCUAGAGUAUUAGAGUUUAGUAAACCUGUAUGCUAGGGAAACAUCAUAUUAGGAGUACACCAAUGCCUGUCUCUGUUAAGAUGAAGUUAUUUUUUGAAAUACAGCUGGUGUGAGAGUGUUUUUCUGGUUUUGUUGUGAAACUCCAGUGUGCUCUCUCCAAAUUCAUUAUUGUUUUGUGCUCAAAUGAGGCCACAGGAUAAAGUUAGUCUCAUGGAUCCUGCCAAAGGUCCCCAAAAACCUGCAGCCUCACUGUGUAAAGUGCUGAUCUGGUACAAGCUCAUUCUGCUGCUCCUCUUCCUUCCAGCAUCAUUGAUGGGUUAACAUUACAUGGCAGAUUUUAGGCUGGAACAGAUGUCACCUUUUGUCUCCAAGCUGAUCUCAGCUCAAAAAUAUGCCACCAACUCUGUUCUGCAGGCUUUGAUGAGCUGCAUAAAAAAAAUAUUUACCUGGCCUAGUCUGGCUUGAAUUUUGCCUCCUGUGGGCUGCAGCAGAGCAGUGAUGUGACAUUAAUGACCAAGGGUGGUAGAGCAGCCUGGCUACUGGCAGGAGACUCACCAGCUGUGGUGCUGUGGCUUGCCUGACAGCACCAA
rnacentral:lncRNA from 1 species